GGAGGCAUCUCCUCGGGUUUAAAGGAAGCGAUUCCGGCUACGGAUGGUCAUGCGUCGCAUUAGCUUGUUGGCGGGGUAACGGCCCACCAAGGCGACGAUGCGUAGGGGUUCUGAGAGGAAGGUCCCCCACACUGGUACUGAGACACGGACCAGACUCCUACGGGAGGCAGCAGUGAGGAAUAUUGGUCAAUGGCCGCAGGGCUGAACCAGCCAAGUCGCGUGAGGGAUGACGGUCCUAUGGAUUGUAAACCUCUUUUGUCAGGGAGCAAAGGGCGCCACGUGUGGCGCUUUGCGAGUACCUGAAGAAAAAGCAUCGGCUAACUCCGUGCCAGCAGCCGCGGUAAUACGGAGGAUGCGAGCGUUAUCCGGAUUUAUUGGGUUUAAAGGGUGCGCAGGCGGAAUGUCAAGUCAGCGGUAAAAUUUCGGGGCUCAACCCCGUCGUGCCGUUGAAACUGGCGUUCUUGAGUGAGCGAGAAGUAUGCGGAAUGCGUGGUGUAGCGGUGAAAUGCAUAGAUAUCACGCAGAACUCCGAUUGCGAAGGCAGCAUACCGGCGCUCAACUGACGCUCAUGCACGAAAGCGUGGGUAUCGAACAGGAUUAGAUACCCUGGUAGUCCACGCAGUAAACGAUGAAUACUAACUGUCCGGGCAGAAUGAUGCCUGGGUG
rnacentral:rRNA from 1 species